rnacentral:rRNA from 1 species
AUAAAAUUCAAAUUGAAAAAUUCACUAAUUUUAAUUAAAAUUUUAUUUACAUAUUGAUCUAUUAUUCUAUUACCAAUAAAACUAAUAAAUUACAUUUUAAUAAUCUAUUAACAACCAUAUAUAAAAAUUAAUUUUAAUCUUUUAAAAAGAGCAAUUUCUAAUUAUAAAACAAGAUUCUUUAAUAAUUGUUUACCGCCAAGAAAAUUAAUUUUAAAUUUACUUUAUUCAUUAAUUAAAUAAAUUUCAUUGAAUUUCUAGGGUAUCUAAUCCUAUUACUAAUAUUCAAUUAAAUUAAAAUAAAUCACUUAAUGUUUAAACCAACUAAUUUCACCUAAAAGUUUAAAUUAAAUUAACAUCAAUUAUUUUAAAUUCAAAACUAAUUAAUUUAACUGAUUAUGUUUAACC